UACGUAGGUGGCGAGCGUUGUCCGGAUUUACUGGGCGUAAAGGGCGUGCAGGCGGUUUGUUAAGUGCAGGGUGAAAGCUCCCGGCUCAACUGGGAGAGGUCUUUGCAUACUGGCAAACUCGAGGGAGGCAGAGGAAAGUGGAAUUCCCGGUGUAGUGGUGAUAUGCGUAGAUAUCGGGAGGAACACCUGUGGCGAAGGCGGCUUUCUGGGCCUUACCUGACGCUGAGACGCGAAAGCGUGGGGAGCGAACCGG
rnacentral:rRNA from 1 species